AUUGAACGCUGGCGGAAUGCUUUGCACAUGCAAGUCGAACGGCAGCACGGACUUCGGUCUGGUGGCGAGUGGCGAACGGGUGAGUAAUAUAUCGGAACGUGCCCAGUCGUGGGGGAUAACGUAGUGAAAAUUACGCUAAUACCGCAUACGAUCUAUGGAUGAAAGCGGGGGAUCGCAAGACCUCGCGCGAUUGGAGCGGCCGAUAUCAGAUUAGGUAGUUGGUGGGGUAAAGGCUCACCAAGCCAACGAUCUGUAGCUGGUCUGAGAGGACGACCAGCCACACUGGAACUGAGACACGGCCCAGACUCCUACGGGAGGCAGCAGUGGGGAAUAUUGGACAAUGGACGCAAGUCUGAUCCAGCCAUGCCGCGUGAAGGAUUAAGGUCCUCUGGAUUGUAAACUUCUUUUAUAAGGGACGAAAAAAGGUCUUUCUAGAUCGUCUGACGGUACCUUAUGAAUAAGCACCGGCUAACUCCGUGCCAGCAGCCG
rnacentral:rRNA from 1 species